CCUACGGGGGGCAGCAGUGAGGAAUAUUGGUCAAUGGGCGAGAGCCUGAACCAGCCAAGUCGCGUGAAGGAUGACGGCCCUACGGGUUGUAAACUUCUUUUGUCAGGGAGCAAUUGGGUCCACGCGUGGGCUUAGCGAGAGUACCUGAAGAAAAAGCAUCGGCUAACUCCGUGCCAGCAGCCGCGGUAAUACGGAGGGGGCAAGCGUUAUCCGGAUUUACUGGGUGUAAAGGGAGCGUAGACGGUGCAGCAAGUCUGAUGUGAAAGGUCGGGGCCCAACCCCGGGACUGCAUUGGAAACUGUUGAACUGGAGUACAGGAGAGGUAAGCGGAAUUCCUAGUGUAGCGGUGAAAUGCGUAGAUAUUAGGAGGAACACCAGUGGCGAAGGCGGCUUACUGGACUGUAACUGACGUUGAGGCUCGAAAGCGUGGGGAGCAAACAGGAUUAGAUACCCUAGUAGUC
rnacentral:rRNA from 1 species